GACGGAGGAUGCAAGCGUUGUUCGGAAUUACUGGGCGUAAAGGGGGCGUAGGCGGUUUGUUAAGUCAAAUGUGAAAGUCCACGGCUUAACUGUGGAAGUGCAUUUGAGACUGUCAGGCUAGAGUUUCGGAAGGGAAAGUGGAAUUCCUGGUGUAGGAGUGAAAUCCGUAGAUAUCAGGAGGAAUACCGGUGGCGAAGGCGACUUUCUGGACGAAUACUGACGCUGAGGCGCGAAAGCGUGGGGAGCAAACAGG
rnacentral:rRNA from 1 species